GAUGAAGAACGCAGUGAAAUGCGAUACUUGGUGUGAAUUGCAGAAUCCCGUGAACCAUCGAGUCUUUGAACGCAAGUUGCGCCCGAAGCCAUUAGGCCGAGGGCACGCCUGCCUGGGUGUCACACACCGUUACCCUCGCGCCAACGUCCAUCGUUGGCCGCGGCGCGGGGCGUGCGCUGACCUCCCGCGAGCGGGGUCUCGUGGUUGGUUGAAAAUCGAGUUCGCGGUCGAGGGUGCCGUGAUGAAAUGGUGGAUGGGCGACGCCCGAGGCCAAUCACGCGCGACUCUGUCAGGCUCGGACUCCUGGACCCCUUCGGCGUCUCCGGACGCUCUUUGGCGAGACCUCAGGUCAGGCGGGGCUACCCGCUGAGUUUAAGCAUAUCAAUAAGCGGAGGA
rnacentral:misc_RNA from 1 species